ACCACAUUUACCUCUUCAAUGCAAUGCUUAGUUGGGACCAAGUAGGAUUCCUUCUAGCAAUCCCUGAAGGAUCUUUGCAGAAGCCUGGAAUUGCUUGGAGGGAAUUGUGGGGUUGGUGGAGGGCUUGGACUGGAAGCCUGCUACAUGUAGGUAACUUCUAGGCAUAUUGCAAAGAGGAUGAUCUCCAGAUGUGCUGAAAUAAUUUCCCAUUUGGAUGUUGGGAUAUUGUGAGGAUCAAAUGGGUUAUCAGCUGCUAAACCUGGUAGUAGGAUGGGCUUCUACAUAGGAGCUGCUGAAUUCUGUGGGUCUUUCUCUUCAACUGAACAUGUCUCUAAGACAAAGGUCUUCUGGUGUUUGGGCACUUUCCUUUAGUUUUUAGUCUAAAUUAUGCCAUGGCAAACCGAAACCCAUGUUUUCUGCUAGUGGAGUCAUUUUACUGAAAAAAAUACCGUUUAUCUGAUGUUCCUUGCCCAGAUCUAUCCUUUUUAUAACCACAGAGACAUGGAGAUCAUAGGCUGAAGUGAAUGUGCACAGCCCCAAUGAAAACAUUUAAAUUUUUUAGACAGAAAGAAUAUAUGAAAAAAGUCUUACACAACCCCCUGUCAGGGAAUUACCUGGCUCCACAAAAAAAGUCUGAAAGGUAGUGGAGUAACUUUUCUCUUAGCUGGCUUGUGGCCUAUUCGUUAAUUAAUGAUCACAAAGGUGAAGCCACAGGUACAGACAGUACCAUCUGUAUUUCAGUCUCAGGGAGAUCUAAAAUGCCUGGCUGCUACUAACCCAUGUAAGGGGCUGACAAUAGAUUGCUGGUCCGUUGUGAUGUGCUGCUCACCGAGAACAAGCCGAAGGUCAUGUGUGUGCCAGUCUGGGGGUAGCUUGGGAAGGUGCUCAGCUGCCAAAGCCAGACUCAUCCUGUGCUCUUUGAGAGGAAAAUCAACAGACUACAGAAAUGCUCAGGUGUGGUGCACGGCACCCUUCAGGAAGAAGUGUUGUUAAAGUAUCUCCCUUUUCACCUGAAAUCUUCACAUGCUACUUCAAGUUCUCAACUCCUCUUGGGAGCUCACAGCGUAAAGCCCCAUAUUUGAGGGCAUUCGGGGCAGUUUUACUUCACAUCUGUGCAGAUUCCCUUGAUGAUAUGUACAAUCUAAUUCAGGAUGGCUUUUUUUUCUCUUCUUGGGUGGGUAAACUAGUGCACAGAGCAGGAAGACUCAUCUGACCCUCUGCCCAGCACAGGCACUGCAAUAUUACCUGUGUGUCCUUGCAAGGGAGAGGAUUUGUCCUCCCUGUCGUGCAGCUAGAGGAUGCUGAGUGCUGUAUAAACACUGAAUCUCACAGCUGAACAGUUCACAGAGGGACCCUGUGAGUUCAGGUGGCUCCACCUUCAUGUCCCUUCAAGGGAUAUUUGUGCAUCCCACUGCUUCUGUCUCCUCUUGGAAGUUCAGCUGUGGAUUUUCUGGGUGAACAUCAAUCCCUCUGCUGAUGUUAGCUAGUGUGGUACAUGGUCUCUGUCAUGUGUACCAUAGUUCUCAGGUGGGGAUAAGAUAUUUUGCAAAUGCUUGGGCAUGACCUGUUGGAAGCGGCAGUUUCUAACAGUGGCCUCCAGCUUCAGCAGUGACAGCGUUUCCAGAGCUCCUCAUUUACUGCUGUGUUUGCAUCCUGAAGCUGGCAGCCUGGACAUUUCCACAUAAGAUAAGAUGAGAACGCUGACAUUGAGACACCUGCCAUCACGGGUACCCAGGGCACAAAAGGCACCGGGCAUGGCAGCUGGCCAGCCAGCUCCUGCCAUGCACGCCCAGAUGCCUGCUAAAUUUUGGGCUAAAGAGGGGGUCUGUCCAUUGCUUCUGCAUGCUGGUAGUAGAAGACUGCUCUAGAAACACACUUUUCCCUUGAAAGACACCAACUCCAUGAUCUACUCUUAGUCUGUUCCUGGGCUGCACAUACCCUUUUGCUGGUCUGCCAGUGUUGUCUGUAACACUGAGUUUCUUCAGCAUUUCCCUAGAAAUAGCGAUUGCAUAAGUUCCUCAGCUGAGAUAAAGUGACCCAGUCAACACUACAGCUGUCUGCAUGGCACUGGGCUUUCCUUAGCAUGGCGGGAGGAUGCAUUGGACAAAGCCAACGGACACAGCUGAAAGUCUUUUAUAUCUCCUCAGACUUGUGUGCUUGGGCUGCCUGAGCUCUGUCCUAGCACAUUUCUUCGCUCCCCGGUGUGACUGUCCCCUGAAUGGGACCCCUGUAACUUACAUUAAGAUGGUGUCUCUGGUUCUUCAAACUGGGAAGAAGAGGAAGGGGGGGUUAUAUUCUCUGGCUGGCAUUUGUCAUCCUGCUUUCUCCCCACCAGUUGCUGGCAUGCUGCAUCCUUUGGGCCAGAGCCUGGGCUAUCUCUGAUUUCAACUCAAGAGCUGUACCUUGCAUCUGAAGAGGGGACAGGUGGCUGGAACAUGCCAUAUCAUUAGAGGAUGUGACCAAGCAGCUUUGAGCCAGUGGGAUAUUACUGAAUCCUAGCAGUUGCUUCAGGGCAACCUGGAGGUUUUGCUCAUAGGAGGGAUUAAUUUGUGGCUUGGGUGCCUGGAGCACCAUGAGGCAUGGAGAUCAGAGGUGAAGCUGGCUGAUGGAUGUGCCCUCUCGAGGCUGCUUGGCCAAGCGAGCACCCCAAGGCAUGCAGGUUUUAUUGACGGCAGCUGGCUAUGCUGGCACAGAGGUAAGUAGAGAGGACACAGGACGGGUUUGGGGGGGCUAGGUGGUAGCUGUGGAUACAGCUGUGGUUAGAGAAGAUAUGGGUGAUGUGGCAGAGGAGGUGCAUGGGUAACCCUAUUGCAUAAUAUACUGAUCUGUUUUUUGCAGCUUCUUAGUUACAGCUGUUCUGAGGACACCUUUGUUGUGGCAUUUGCAGUGGGUUGAUAAUACGCUUAGUGAGAGAAAACCCAAGUUAUCUGUAUUAUCUCAUUUAUUAUGGGCAUCCUUUGUGCAUUUAAAAUUAAAAUUGGACAAAACCUCAUGUUCAAUGUAACCUGUUAACGGCGCUCACCAGUGAUUGGGGGCAGUGUUGUUAGUGGAGCACAGUGUAUCCCACAAAAAGGCCCUCCUGUAUGCCACUCUGCUUUCUGUCUGCCUUAUCUCUGCAGAUGAAUGCUGUACGAAGUCAGCCGCUGGGUUGCUGCACAGCUGCCUGCUCACGAUGCUGGAACCACAGUCAAUGUCACUGUGAUGCUAAUUGCAACAGCAGCAGUUGGGAUUUCCCAGUUUGACACUUUCUACCCCAAUAAUGAUUCCUGUAGGGGCAGAGGACAACUCGCUAGUGUCCUCCGGAGUACCUCAAGCAUAGAACUCUGACAACUUUAUCAGCUUAGGAAAAAAAAUAAAUAAAAGGAGGACAAACCCCUUUCUAACUGUUAGAACUCCUCCCUUGCAGCUUUAAAUGAAGAUUGCACAUUGGACCCCUGUUUAGGUGUUGCCCAUGGAAGGAGAUGCUGGGUUGGCUGUGGCUGGGCUGGACACCCCCAGGGUUGUCUCUUGCUGUUCAUGGGUUUCCUCUCCAUCUCCCAUUUCUAAGGGGGUUUUACACUGUAUUUAUGACAAAGUGGGCA